rnacentral:lncRNA from 1 species
AUAGUAGCUUGGUUUUGCAUCUUUUCUACCGCAUUCCUUAUUUAAUGUGUCCUGGAAGACAUAGAAACCACUUUAGUCUCUCUUUGUCUGCUACAGGAGAUGUCACUAUUCAAACAGAAAAAAGGGUAACUGGAGCAACAAUCCAGCUGUUUGAAUUUGUUCCUAUCAGUUUACAGUAGGCAUCUUCAUCCACAACAACUUGAGCUAUCAUAAUUCCAAAUAUGCAGUAAAAUAGC